rnacentral:rRNA from 1 species
GAUGAACGCUGGCGGCGUGCCUAAUACAUGCAAGUCGAGCGAACAGACGAGGAGCUUGCUCCUCUGACGUUAGCGGCGGACGGGUGAGUAACACGUGGAUAACCUACCUAUAAGACUGGGAUAACUUCGGGAAACCGGAGCUAAUACCGGAUAAUAUAUUGAACCGCAUGGUUCAAUAGUGAAAGACGGUUUUGCUGUCACUUAUAGAUGGAUCCGCGCCGCAUUAGCUAGUUGGUAAGGUAGCGGCUUACCAAGGCAACGAUGCGUAGCCGACCUGAGAGGGUGAUCGGCCACACUGGAACUGAGACACGGUCCAGACUCCUACGGGAGGCAGCAGUAGGGAAUCUUCCGCAAUGGGCGAAAGCCUGACGGAGCAACGCCGCGUGAGUGAUGAAGGUCUUCGGAUCGUAAAACUCUGUUAUUAGGGAAGAACAAAUGUGUAAGUAACUGUGCACGUCUUGACGGUACCUAAUCAGAAAGCCACGGCUAACUACGUG